GACGAACGCUGGCGGCGUGCCUAAUACAUGCAAGUAGAACGCUGAAGGAGGAGCUUGCUUCUCUGGAUGAGUUGCGAACGGGUGAGUAACGCGUAGGUAACCUGCCUGGUAGCGGGGGAUAACUAUGGGAAACGAUAGCUAAUACCGCAUAAGAGUAGAUGUCGCAUGACAUUUGCUUAAAAGGUGCAAUUGCAUCACUACCAGAUGGACCUGCGUUGUAUUAGCUAGUUGGUGAGGUAACGGCUCACCAAGGCAACGAUACAUAGCCGACCUGAGAGGGUGAUCGGCCACCCUGGGACUGAGACACGGCCCAGACUCCUACGGGAGGCAGCAGUAGGGAAUCUUCGGCAAUGGACGGAAGUCUGACCGAGCAACGCCGCGUGAGUGAAGAAGGUUUUCGGAUCGUAAAGCUCUGUUGUAAGAGAAGAACGAGUGUGAGAGUGGAAAGUUCACACUGUGACGGUAUCUUACCAGAAAGGGACGGCUAACUACGUG
rnacentral:rRNA from 1 species